rnacentral:rRNA from 1 species
UACAGAGACCUCAAACGUUGUCCGGAUUUAUUGGGCGUAAAGGGUCCGCAGGCGGUCUGAUACGUCGGUGGUCAAAUCAUCGGGCUUAACCCGGUGGCUGCCAUCGAUACGGUCAGACUCGAGCAUGGGAGAGGUAAGCGGAAUUGCCGGUGUAGUAGUAAAAUGCGUUCAUAUCGGCAAGAACACCAAAUGCGAAGGCAGCUUACUGGAACAUUGCUGACGCUCAGGGACGAAAGCGUGGGGAGCGAAAGGGAUUAGAUACCCGGGUAGU